rnacentral:tRNA from 1 species
GGAAGGCAUGCGCGUCCGGGCAUGCGGCUGGGCUUCAAACCCAGUAGGGGGCGUCGAUCGUUCCCUGGUAGGUUCGACUCCUGCUGCCUUCCGCCA